GGAUCGAUUUUAUCGUUUUCUAUUCUAUUAAUCUGACCUUUUUUGGUUUUUUGGUUGAUAUUUUAAAGAUUAGAUUUGGAUCUUUAGUUUUCUGGUAACUUCUGAUCACUGAAUCUUCUGUUGAUCUUAGAUCAAACGAUUUAUUAGGUUUUUUUGGGUUGAUUCUAACCUCUGACGGGUUAUUGGCUCUUUAAUUUUUAUCGAUCUCCUUAUUUUGUUUUAUGAUGUCCGAUUUAGAUCUCGAUCAUGAUUAUUCUCUUUUAUAUUGAUUUUACCGUUGUCUAUGUCUCUGGCCUAUCAGGUUUUGCCUAUGAUUUGCCAGCGCUGACCUUAUCUUCUUCUUGUUUUGAUUCAUCUCGUGUUAUUUGGAUCUUUAAUAUAUGUAAGGUACUGAUUAUUAUGGAGUUAGGACUCUAGUUUUGCUUACGCUGACCUUAUAUUCUUUUUACUUAUUUUGAUUUGUCUUGUGCAGUUUGGAUCUGGAUGCCGAAUGUAUGUAGGAUAUCUAUGUUGGAUUGUUGUUCAUCGAAUUAACCAGUCCUUUUCGUUAAUAUUUUACCAUAAAUUGGCUUAGUAUUUUACCAUAAAUUGGUUAACUUGAUCGUUGAUUAUUGGAUAAACAUGUGUUCUAAUGCUAACUUCACAAUCUUUCUACUUAUUUUGUUUGUUCUUGUGCAAUUUGGAUCUCUAUUUUAGAUCAAUUUCAUCUAUUUUUCUUUUUUUUCUUUUUUUUUCUUUUUUUUGGGGGUGCCUGGCGUGUUAAAUAUAAAUCUGCUAACAUUCUUAUAACCAUUCUAUUUGUCGUGGCCCUAAUUCAUAACUGUUAUAAUUAUUUGGUAUGCUAUCGUUGAACUAAUAACCGUCUAAUUGUUUUGAUUGUACUAUAGGGUUCUGACUGUGCUGGAGUUAGAUCUGUCUUUAGAUCAGUUUUAUCAUUCUGUGCUCUGCUGAUCUGACUUCUUUUGGUUGUACCUUAAUUGGAUCCCAAACACACAAUUCUUGGGGUAUCUGGUAUGUUAACGCUGACCUUAUGUGAUUUGGUCGUUCUUGGACAUGCUUAGGGCAUUGCUCGCUGUUGAUAUUUUCAGAUGGUUAAUGGGAUUAGUCCUGGUAGUAGUGCCGUUGAUUCUGAUAGGUGUUCUAUGGUUUUGAUAUACCAGACUGAAGAUCCUUUCCUGAGCAGUCUUGAGAUAUGUACUGUAAGAUUUUUGGUGUCCAACUUAGGCACUGUAUGAUUUUUUCUGUCCAAUUCUUCUUUUAUGAAUUUUGAUCUGGUAGAUGGCAAGGAAUAGGUUUCUUUUCAAUUUGGAAGCUUCGGUUCGAAGAGUGGCCGUGGACAGUAUCUGGUACAUACCUUUGGUUAGCUUAACUGUAAGUUGGUCAGUUCAGUUCAGUUCAGUUCUGUGAUUGAUAACGGUAUUUUAAGCUAAUUCUCUAGUCCUUUGAUUAGUCUGCCUGAAGCAAUGCACAAGUUUAUGUACAGAGUCGUUUCAAUUUUCUUCUUCCUUAUUCUCAGAAGAUUAGUUUAUGUCUUGAGGACUUGAUAUUUUUUUAGAGAGCAACCUUGGCUUAGGCAGUGUAAGUUCUGGUUUUGAUCAGCCAGACGAAGAAGAAUAUCUUUAUCAUCAUUUUGGACUUCUGUUUUCAAUAAUAGGAAGUUCGGAUGUUAAGUGGCACUGCUAGCUUUUUGUUUCCAUAUGCUUUACGCUUUCACAUCGCAAGUUAAAUGAUAGAAAGUUUGGGGCAUUAGUUGACUGACACUGCAUGUUUUUUUGUUUGUCUAUGCUUUACGCGUUUACAUCGCAAGUUUGUUUCUCUUUACCUCAAUACUUCUAAUCUGUUAGAUGGUGAAGAACAACUUUUUUUCAUUAGUGAGGUUCUCAUUUCAGAAAUCGUGAAGAAUAUCUUUUAUGGGGCAAGCUUGGGCUAUAUGCUAUCUGUUUUCUGUUGCCCAAUAAAUUUUUUUUAUCGUCGUCUUUGAUUUUGACGAAUAAUAUUUGCAAGUUAUGGUCAGGGCUCAAAUCUUUUAAGGAACAACCUUCCAUAUGGCGAUGUAAGUUCUCUGUUGCCGGGUUAACCUAGCAUGGUUUUGAUUCAGCAGAUUAUCUCGUUAAUUUUUAGGAGUGGGUUUCAUAAUGCUCUGAGGACUUCAUCAUUAACAAAGCAAACUUAGGUUAUGCACUACCAGUUCUUUUCUGUUUGGACUACUUCGUCUAUGGUUUUGAGCUGCCAGAUUGUAGAAUAGUUUGCAUCAGGUAGGAGUUCUGGAGUUCUGGUUUAAUCAACAAGAUCGUAACAAUAAAUUGUUCGUCUUUUAUCAUUAUUUGUUUCAUUUCCUGCCUCACUAGGUUUCUUGUUCAUUUAUCGUGAUUCUUUUUGGGAUCUUUGACAUUAUGUCUUAUUAGAUGGAUGAAGGGUGGCAUAAUGCACUGAUUUUGGCUUAUGUUCUAUAUUCUAUUGGUUUGUUCUAUUGGUUUGUUGUAUGGCUCUGAUUUGCCAGACUGUGGAGUAGAGAGCAAUCCAGAUGGUCUUGAGGACUGGAGAUUAUUUAUGGAGCAAUCUGGAGUUGGGCACUUUCUAUGCUUUCGAGCCGUCAGAUUCAUUGUGAUUCAUGAGUUCAUCUUCUUUGAAGAAUAAUAUUUGCAAGUUACGGUCAGGGCUCAAAUAUUUUAAGGAACAACCUUCCAUAAGACGAUGUUAGUUCUCUGUUGCCCAGUAAUCCUGGCAUGGUUUUGAUUCAGCAGAUUAUCUCGUUAAUUUUUAGGAGUGGGUUUCAUAAUGCUCUGAGGACUUCAUCAUUAACAAAGCAAACUUAGGUUAUGCACUACCAGUUCUUUUUUGUUUGGACUACUUCGUCUAUGGUUUUGAGCUGCCAGAUUGUAGAGUAGUAUGGAUCAGGUAGUAGUUCUGGUUUAAUCAACAAGAUCGAAACAAUAAAUUGUUCAUCAUUUAUCAUUAUUUGUUAUUUGUUUUAUUUCCUGCCUCGCUAGGUUUCUUGUUCAUUUAUCGUGAUUUAUUUGGGAUCUUUGACAGUGUCUUAUUAAAUGGAUGAAGGGUGGCGCUAUAUGAUAAUGCACUGAUUUUGGCUUAUGUUCUAUAUGCUUCUGUGCUUUUAAUCUGGCAGAUUCAUCGUGAUUAUCAUUUGCGAGUUCCAGUUCCAAAAGUCAUGAAGAAUAUCGUUUACUCAAUCCUGUGUUAGGUACUGUAAGUUCUCUGUUGCCCUGUAAAUUUUCUCAGUCCCCUGUGGUUUUGAUUAUCCACAUCAGCCAGAUGGUGAAGAAUAGCUUGGUCAUCUUGAGGGAUUUCAAACUUCUUAAGGAACAAUUCAUUAGGUACUGUAAGUUCUCUGUUGUCCGAUAAUCCUUGGUUUUGAUCCGGCAGAUGGUGACGAAUAGCUAAAUUAUUAUUUCUGAGCCUUGAUAUCAAAAAGCCCUGAGGACAUAUUAACAUUUAUAGAAUUAUUUAUUAUCAUUUAUAGAAUUAUCUUGGAUUUUUGUGCGGUCAGUUGUUUUUGGUUCAUUAUACUUCUUCUGUGGUUUCGACCUGCUAGAUGAUGAAGAACAGCUUGGUUGUUUGGAAGUUUCGGUUUCCUGUGGACUUGUGGAACCUUGGGCUAGGCACUAGGAUUUUGUGUUUCCGUCCUCUUCUAUAGUUUUGAUCUGCCAGAUUGUGAAGAAUAGCUUGGAUUGUCAGUUGGGAUUUCACAGAGGAACCUUUCAUUAGGCGCCAGAAGCUUUUUGUUGCCCGGUAAUUCUAUGGCUUUGAUAAGAAUAGCUUGGUUGUUGGUUGGGAGUGUCUACCAAUGGCAGCCUUGUGUUAGGCACUGUAAACCCUUUGGUGCCCAGUAGUUCUUCUAUAUAUUUUGAUUGGCCAGAUGACAUAGAAUAUCUUGAUUGUCAUUUUGGAGCUUUGGUUUGACAAAGUAAUGGGGCUCUUAUAUGGAGCAACGUAGCGGUCGGCAUUGUGAGCUUCUUGUUGCCAAAAAAUUCAUUUAUGGUUUUGAUUUGCCAGUUGCCCAGAACUGAUUAUCAUUUGGGUGCUUCAGUUCAGAUCCUAUGGACUUGACAUGUAAUUCUUACGGAGCAACCUUGGUUUUGGCACUGUAAGCUUCUUAGUUUCUGGAUACGUAUUGUACCAUAAUCUGUUGCAUUCAGUUCUGCAAUAUAGUCUGCAAUAUUGUCAGCACACGCUGCUAUCCUUUUGUUAUGCACCAUAAGAAUCACCCUCCUGCCCUUCCCCCCCUUCGUGUGGAAUUCUAUCGCUGCAUUUGGUUGCCACCAAUUCCUAUGGCUUUAAUCAAUCAAUUGGUGGCUGCAUUUUGUUGCCACCAAUUUCAAUGGCUUUAAUCAAUCAAAUGGUGGAAGAGUAGAUUGAUUGUUAUUUCAGAGUUCUAGCUUCAAAACAUCACUGAAAUCUUGUGUUUGGCACUUUAAGCAGCAGUAAGAUAUUGAAGAAGAGCUUUAUAGGAGUUCUGGUUUGGAAAAAACCCUGGGGACGAGGACUCUUUUACAGAGCGGUGUCUGCGUUAGGCGUUGUAAGUUUCUUGUUGCCCAAUGAUUCUUUUCAUAGUUCUGAUCUGCCAGUUUGAGAAUGGACUAUAAUUUGGGAGUUCCUUCUUCAAAGUCCAGGGACUUCACUGCCCUACAGAGCGACCUUGCGCUAGGAACUAUGGUGAGGAGUGGCUUGUUCAUUGUUCGGAGGCUUUGGUUUUAGAUGGUCCCGAGCUCAUAUCUUUUAGGCAGCUCAUAUCUUUUAGGCACUGUAAGUUUUUGUUGCCCGAUGAUUUUUCUGUAGCUUUGAUCUGUGACUUGGUAAUGUAGUUUUAUCAUUAUCGGAACUUUCGGUCACGACUCGAUCUCUUACGGGGCAACCUUGGGCUUAACUUUGUAAGUUUUCUUUUGCUCAAUAAUAUCCUAUGUAUCGGUUUAGCUCAGUUCUGUGAUCCGUAGUUUUGCGAUCUUGGACAGUAAGUGUUUUGUUGCUCAACAAUAUCCUAUGUAUUUGUGUAGUUCAGCUCUGUGAGCUGUAGUUAUGAGAUCUUGGACAGUAGAUGAAGUAUCAUAGGAAGCUUGCACAUUAUUCGGCAAUGUAAAUUGUCCACAAUACUUGACGAUGUAAGUCUGUGUUUGCUGUACCUCCUUUUUAUCUGGCAGAUGGUGCAGACCACCUUGUUAGACAUUAGCGGUUUCAGUUUCAUGAAGUCUUGAGCUCUUGAUAAAUUUAAUGUCAGCCAGGGCCAGGGGACAUACGCUGCAGGGGCCAUGCGCUGUAAGUCUCUUGUUACAGAACCAUUAUUUAUGGUUUGGUAUGACAGAUGGUGAAGAACAACCUUCUUGCGUUCUCUGUUUCAAAAAAUUCUGAGAACGAUAUGGAGCGACCUUGGGUUCGGCAUUGUAAGCGUCUUGUCUGUAAGCUUUUGUUUCCUUAUACCUCUUCGAUGGUUCUGCUAGAUAGUGAAGAAUAGCUUGAUUAUAAUCUAUGAGCUUUGGUUGCAAAAGGUUCUACACUUCUUAUGGAGCAGCCUUUUGUUAGGCACUGUAAUCUUCUUGUACCUACCUCUUUGAUUGUUUUGCUCUACCAGGAUGUGAAGAAUAGCUUGAUUAUCAUGAUGGAGCUUUGGCUUCAAAAAGUUCUGAUGUUUAGAGAUCUUUCAUUGAGCAAUAAUUCUUUGAUAUGGUUUUGAUUGCCCAAUAAAUCUUCUAGUGUUUUGAUUCACCAGAUGGUGAAGACUUGGUAGCUUGUCAUUUGGGAGUUCUGGUGUCAAAAUGUUUAGAGGGCUCGAUAUCUCUUGUGGAGCGCAAUGUGUGAGGCACUGUCAAGUUUCUUGUUGCCUAAUAAUUCUAUGGGGCUGAUCUGCCUGGAGUUAAUUAUCUUUUGAGAGUUUUGGUCUGAGAGUCCAAAUAUUCUUGAGGACUUGACAUGUUUUAUUGAACAACCUUGGGGGAAGCAUUGUAAGCUUCUUGUUUUCCUGUACCUCUUCUAUGGUUUUGAUCUGCCUAAGUUCGGUGGACUUGAGAUAUUUCGCGGAUGAUCUUCUGUGAUUUGAUCUGCAUAAGAAUAUCUUACGGCUUAUAAUUCUUGUAUGUUUCUAAUCUGUCAGAUGGUGAAGAUUAAUUGUCAUUUGGGAGUUUUUAGUUUCAAAGAGAGCUGAGGACUUGGUAAAUCUUUUACGGAACGACUGUGGUUUAG